UGGAGCUGGCCAUCCGUGCUGGGGGCAGCCAUGGCGACUGGCUACAGGCUGCGGUCUCGGCUGUGCCCUCCUGCCUGGGUCCGGUCAGCAGAAGUCAGACUCCAUGGUGGCCCCUGCAGGGGGAGGAAGCACCACAUCCGUGGAGCAGCGGAAAGUGAAGGGUCUGGGCAGUCCUGGCCCAGCUGAGCCAGGAACUGGCUUCUUCAGGUCAGUGCCUUGGACCAUGUGAGCAGAAAGCUGGGGACCUCUCCCCGCUGCGCCUAAAACACCCCAGGCUUGUUCUGAGACCCCCACCGGGGGGUUCCUCUGCGGCCCCUCGGCCGUUGGAGGUCUUGGAGCUGGCGUUGGGGGGUCUUCCUCACUGGUCACCAGGGGUAGCCUGGGCUCCCUCGCCAGUUUCACCCGCUGUGGACACUUCCCAGGCCCGCUGGGCAAGGGCUCGGGGUCUGCGGGACACCCAGGAGGGGUGGGAACGGAAAGGGCAACAGGUGCCUUGAAGUUUUCCGCUCCGGGGCCGAGAGCAGCCUGGGCGCCCCCAGGGUCCGGCCGGCCCCCCGGUGGCACUUACGCGCUAGUGGGUCCACCGCUGGGCAGAACUGAAACUUUCUGGGGCCAAGCGGAAGACUGCGGGUGCGCGGCGGAGACGGCCAUGAUACGCAGAGCCCGCCACAAGCGGGUGCGGACUACAACUCCCGGCAUGCACCACAAGCCCGAGUCCUACAACGCCCAUCGGACCCCAGCGGCAGAUGGGCUCCGACUACAACUCCCGGCAUGCUCCGCAGAGCCGAGGUUGACAACGCCUACUGGUUCUCCCUUGCAUCUGGCUGUAGGUUAACCUUUCAAUCCCCGAGGACACGCAAACCAUGGUUUGGGGAAAGCAGCCCCGUCCGUGUGUGGCUUUUGAGAGUUUGAAAUGUGGCUAGUUUGAGUUAUUGUACAUGUGUUGUAAGCGCAGAAUACACGUGAGUUCCAAAGACUUCGUGUGAAAAAGAAAUUCCGAGCAGAAAGCAGUAUCAUUCCUUCUGGCUGGUCCUUGUUCAGACACAGUUGGAUUAAGAGAUACGAAAAAGCCCUGGACUUGGAGACAGAGACGUGGGUGUUAGGCCAGAGGAGAGACAGGGACAAAAAACUGAGCCAGGGAACACUCAAGACAGACUUGGCCUCGGACAAUUUUGCCUAAGGCCUAAAUGGAGCCAAUUUCCCACCAUCCUGAUUCACACAGGACUUGUUUCACACUUUAUCUCCAAGCCUUCUUCUGUGUCCCUCCCUUCACCCCAAAUCCUAACCCAGUUCCCCCCCAUAAGCAGAGAACUUUUAGGAAUCUUAUGUAAUGAUCUUGGGUAGAGAUUUAUUUGUGCAUAUGAUACAAUGAUUCUGUUUUUAUUAGAUGAUUACAAUAGUAACUCAUAUUAGUCUGGGCUGAAUGAUUUACAAAGCAAGUACUUUACACACAUAACCUCAUGCGCACCUCCACUGUGUGCGUAGAAUCUGCCUUUGUGUUGUUGACAUACAGUUUUACAAAUGAGGACACUGAGGCUCUGAGGGAUCCAAGGUCACAGUGAGUGAGUAAAGAGCUUGGAUUUGGGGUUUGAGUCCAGGACUCAAAUCCCAAGAGACUUCUCAGCCAGUUUACUUUGGGGGUCUUUUCUGCUGGGCUUUCCAUGCUUGUGGGUUUCUUUGUCCCACCAGAGGCAGCUUUCACAAAUGAAAGCCACAGGAAUUCAACAAACCAGGUGAUGCCUGGGCUGGUGGGCUCUGGAGAAGAACCCAUGGGAAGCCUGUGAAUGGUACCUGGAGUUGACUGGAAGGUGGAUGUAAUAUAAGCCAGUGUCAGAAGAGGAAAUGGAAGUAGAAAAAAAAAACAACAAAAAGAGAGUCUCCUUAUCCACUUGGUCAACCAACCACAAAUAUUGUGGGGCACUAAGGCAGGUUCUAGUUAUGCAACACAGAUUGUGCUGUUGAGGAAGUUCCACUCUGGCUGGGGUUAUCUGAGGUCUGGGGCUGCCCUGGGCUUGGAGGUACGUUCCUAUUUGGAGAUCAGCAAGACUCCUCUCCUCUUGAUUUUGUUUGAGGGAGUGUGGAGGUGGAAAUGCUGUGAAGAAAUCUUCCCUGGGUACCGCUGGGGAUUUUAUAUGUUUCUGGUGUGGCAGUUCUGCAGCCCUGUGACCAGGGCACCAUAUUUCAACUAUUAGGGGAGGGAUAGGCUCACAAGAGCCCGGUUGAGGUUGAACAGUAGUUUUAGUGGAUGGAGGGAGAAGAAAGCAGGAGGUUGUAGCUGAUGAAGGGUGUGGUCAGAGAAUGUAGAGUACAGUCCCUGGCCUCACCCACACUCCCUUUCUGAUAGGGUGUCCCUCUACCUUCCAGUUUUUACCUUUCUGUCUCUAUGCCUCUUUCCUUGCAUUCCCAAGGAACUGGAUUAGGAGAAGACUCUUGGUUAAAGAUCACUUUCAGAGCUAGUCUAUUGGGAGUGCCAAAACAUCACUAGAAAUGUAGAGAUGGACAUGAUUGUAUUUCAUGAACUCUCCUAGGGAUAUGGCUGUAUGUGUUGAAAGAAAUACUUAGAUAUGCAUCUUGGAAUUUGAAGGAAUGGGAUGGGGUAAGGAGACAGUGGAUCAAGCCUCUCAAAGGUCAUGCUCUCUGGUGAUACAAGACCCCUUAAGCCUGCUUUCUAAGAAGAGUGGGCUCAAAACCCAUGGAGCUUUGGUUUGGCCAAGUGGGUGUGUAAUCUGGAAUCCUCUGUUUUUCUGCUCCCUGGCCUCAGCCUGCCAUCUAAAUAAAAGUUGGACAAAAGUUUAGUAAUCCCAGUUUACAGAGGUGCCAAAUUGUCCUGAUAGAAGCCCACAGGCUUAGCUCAGACCCCCCAAACCAUCUCAUCAUCUCUUUCCUUAGGUGGUGGGCUAUUUCUUCCACAGAUGGUGGGUGAUGGCCCACCUAUUGGUUAGCUAGUCCCUUCCCUGGUGCACCACGCAACCUUCUCCAGCAGGUGUUACUGACCAAUUCUUAAAAUUAGACCUUCACUCUUCCCCAGCAAGGUCAAUGUCCUCCAAGGCUGGCCACCCAAUGGCAACUAGAGUAUUGAAAUAAUAGCUGGAACUGAA